rnacentral:rRNA from 1 species
AACGAACGCUGGCGGCAUGCCUAACACAUGCAAGUCGAACGAGACCUUCGGGUCUAGUGGCGCACGGGUGCGUAACGCGUGGGAACCUGCCCUUAGGUUCGGAAUAACUCCCCGAAAGGGGUGCUAAUACCGGAUAAUGUCUUCGGACCAAAGAUUUAUCGCCUUUGGAUGGGCCCGCGUUGGAUUAGCUAGUUGGUAGGGUAAAAGCCUACCAAGGCGACGAUCCAUAGCUGGUCUGAGAGGAUGAUCAGCCACACUGGGACUGAGACACGGCCCAGACUCCUACGGGAGGCAGCAGUGGGGAAUAGUGGACAAUGGGCGAAAGCCUGAUCCAGCAAUGCCGCGUGAGUGAUGAAGGCCUUAGGGUUGUAAAGAUCUUUUACCCGGGAUGAUAAUGACAGUACCGGGAGAAUAAGCUCCGGCUAACUCCGUG